CAGUCGCCGCGGGAAUACAUAGGUGGCAAGCGUUGUCCGGAAUUAUUGGGCGUAAAGGGCUCGCAGGCGGUUUCUUAAGUCUGAUGUGAAAGCCCCCGGCUCAACCGGGGAGGGUCAUUGGAAACUGGGAAACUUGAGUGCAGAAGAGGAGAGUGGAAUUCCACGUGUAGCGGUGAAAUGCGUAGAGAUGUGGAGGAACACCAGUGGCGAAGGCGACUCUCUGGUCUGUAACUGACGCUGAGGAGCGAAAGCGUGGGGAGCGAACAGGAUUAGAUACCCCUGUAGUCCCUGUCUCUUAUAC
rnacentral:rRNA from 1 species